AGUCGAGGGGCAGCAUGGUCUUAGCUUGCUAAGGCCGAUGGCGACCGGCGCACGGGUGAGUAACGCGUAUCCAACCUGCCUUACACUCUUGGACAGCCUUCUGAAAGGGAGAUUAAUACAAGAUGUUAUCAUGAGUAAGCAUUUUCGCAUGAUUAAAGGUUUACCGGUGUAAGAUGGGGAUGCGUUCCAUUAGAUAGUAGGCGGGGUAACGGCCCACCUAGUCUUCGAUGGAUAGGGGUUCUGAGAGGAAGGUCCCCCACAUUGGAACUGAGACACGGUCCAAACUCCUACGGGAGGCAGCAGUGAGGAAUAUUGGUCAAUGGACGAGAGUCUGAACCAGCCAAGUAGCGUGAAGGAUGAAGGUUCUAUGGAUUGUAAACUUCUUUUAUACGGGAAUAAACGGAUCCACGUGUGGAUUUUUGCAUGUACCGUAUGAAUAAGGAUCGGCUAACUCCGUGCCAGCAGCCGCGGUAAUACGGAGGAUCCGAGCGUUAUCCGGAUUUAUUGGGUUUAAAGGGAGCGUAGAUGGGUUGUUAAGUCAGUUGUGAAAGUUUGCGGCUCAACCGUAAAAUUGCAAUUGAUACUGGCAGUCUUGAGUACAGUUGAGGUAGGCGGAAUUCGUGGUGUAGCGGUGAAAUGCUUAGAUAUCACGAAGAACUCCGAUUGCGAAGGCAGCUUACUAACCUGUAACUGAC
rnacentral:rRNA from 1 species